rnacentral:rRNA from 1 species
AUUGAACGCUGGCGGCAGGCCUAACACAUGCAAGUCGAGCGGAUGAGUGGAGCUUGCUCCAUGAUUCAGCGGCGGACGGGUGAGUAAUGCCUAGGAAUCUGCCUGGUAGUGGGGGCCAACGUUUCGAAAGGAACGCUAAUACCGCAUACGUCCUACGAGAGAAAGUGGGGGAUCUUCGGACCUCACGCUAUCAGAUGAGCCUAGGUCGGAUUAGCUAGUUGGUGAGGUAAAGGCUCACCAAGGCGACGAUCCGUAACUGGUCUGAGAGGAUGAUCAGUCACACUGGAACUGAGACACGGUCCAGACUCCUACGGGAGGCAGCAGUGGGGAAUAUUGGACAAUGGGCGAAAGCCUGAUCCAGCCAUGCCGCGUGUGUGAAGAAGCUCUUCGGAUUGUAAAGCACUUUAAGUUGGGAGGAAGGGCAGUAAGUUAAUACCUUGCUGUUUUGACGUUACCAACAGAAUAAGCACCGGCUAACUUCGUGCCAGCAGCCGCCGUAAAAC